CCUACGGGGGGCUGCAGUGGGGAAUAUUGCACAAUGGGCGAAAGCCUGAUGCAGCAACGCCGCGUGAAGGAUGAAGGCCUUUGGGUCGUAAACUUCUGUCCUUGGGGAAGAAAAAAAUGACGGUACCCCUGGAGGAAGUCCCGGCUAACUACGUGCCAGCAGCCGCGGUAAUACGUAGGGGGCGAGCGUUAUCCGGAAUUAUUGGGCGUAAAGAGUACGUAGGUGGUUUUUUAAGCGCAGGGUUUAAGGCGAUGGCUCAACUGUCGUUCGCCCUGUGAACUGGAAGACUUGAGUACAGGAGAGGAAAGCGGAAUUCCUAGUGUAGCGGUGAAAUGCAUAGAUAUUAGGAGGAACACCAGUGGCGAAGGCGGCUUUCUGGACUGUAACUGACACUGAGGUACGAAAGCGUGGGGAGCAAACAGGAUUAGAUACCCCGGUAGUC
rnacentral:rRNA from 2 species